rnacentral:rRNA from 1 species
GACGGAGGGUGCAACCGUUGUUCGGAAUUACUGGGCGUAAAGCGUGUGUAGGUGGCUGCGUAAGUCGGAUGUGAAAGCCCUGGGCUCAACUCAGGAAGUGCACUCGAUACUGCGUAGCUUGAGUACCGGAGAGGUUGGUGGAAUUCUCGGUGUAGAGGUGAAAUUCGUAGAUAUCGAGAGGAACACCUGUGGCGAAGGCGGCCAACUGGACGAGUACUGACACUGAGACACGAAAGCGUGGGGAGCAAACAGG